CAAACGCAUUAAGCACUCCGCCUGGGGAGUACGGUCGCAAGACUGAAACUCAAAGGAAUUGACGGGGGCCCGCACAAGCGGUGGAGCAUGUGGUUUAAUUUGAAGCAACGCGAAGAACCUUACCAGGUCUUGACAUCCUCUGACAACCCUAGAGAUAGGGCUUCCCCUUCGGGGGCAGAGUGACAGGUGGUGCAUGGUUGUCGUCAGCUCGUGUCGUGAGAUGUUGGGUUAAGUCCCGCAACGAGCGCAACCCUUGAUCUUAGUUGCCAGCAUUCAGUUGGGCACUCUAAGGUGACUGCCGGUGACAAACCGGAGGAAGGUGGGGAUGACGUCAAAUCAUCAUGCCCCUUAUGACCUGGGCUACACACGUGCUACAAUGGGCAGAACAAAGGGCAGCGAAGCCGCGAGGCUAAGCCAAUCCCACAAAUCUGUUCUCAGUUCGGAUCGCAGUCUGCAACUCGACUGCGUGAAGCUGGAAUCGCUAGUAAUCGCGGAUCAGCAUGCCGCGGUGAAUACGUUCCCGGGCCUUGUACACACCGCCCGUCACACCACGAGAGUUUGUAACACCCGAAGUCGGUGAGGUAACCA
rnacentral:rRNA from 1 species